rnacentral:rRNA from 1 species
AUUGUCCGCUGGCGGCAGGCCUAACACAUGCAAGUCGAGCGAGCGGCGGACGGGUGUGUAAUGUCCGGGAAACUGCCUGAUGGAGGGGGAUAACUAUUGGAAACGGUAGCUAAUACCGCAUACCAUCAGAUGGGCCCAGAUGGGAUUAGCUAGUAGGUGGGGUAACGGCGCACCUAGGCGACGAUCCCUAGCUGGGCUGUGAGGAUGACCAGCCACACGGGAACGGAGACACUGUCCAGACGCCUACGGGAGGCAGCAGUGGGGAAUAUUGCACACUGGGCGCAAGCCUGAUGCAGCCAGGCCGCGUGUGUGAAGAAGGCCUUCGGGUUGUAAAGCACUUUCAGCGGGGAGGCGUUACCCGCAGAAGAAGCACCGGCUAACUCCGUGCCAGCAGCCGCGGUAAUAC